CGCCUGUUUACCAAAAACAUCGCCUCUUGCUUCAGUGAAUAAGAGGUCACGCCUGCCCUGUGACUAUAUGUUUAACGGCCGCGGUAUUUUGACCGUGCAAAGGUAGCGCAAUCACUUGUCCUUUAAAUGUGGACCUGUAUGAAUGGCAUAACGAGGGCUUAGCUGUCUCCUUUCUCAAGUCAAUGAACUUGAUCUCCCCGUGCAGAAGCGGGGAUAAAACCAUAAGACGAGAAGACCCUAUGGAGCUUUAGACAAAAAACAGCCCCUGUCAAUAAACCCUAAAUAAAGGGAAUAAACCUAGUGAACCUGUUUUAAUGUCUUUGGUUGGGGCGACCGCGGGGUAACAAAAAACCCCCAUGUGGAAUGAAAACACCCUUUUUAAACCCAAGAGUCACCACUCUAGGAUACAGAACAUCUGACCAAUAAUGAUCCGGCUAAAGCCGAUUAACGAACCGAGUUACCCUAGGGAUAACAGCGCAAUCCUCUUUUAGAGUCCAUAUCGACAAGAGGGUUUACGACCUCGAUGUUGGAUCAGGACAUCCUAAUGGUGCAGCCGCUAUUAAAGGUUCGUUUGUUCAACGAUUAAAGUCCUACGUGAUCUGAGUUCAGACCGG
rnacentral:rRNA from 1 species